rnacentral:siRNA from 1 species
ACGGUGUUAUUGCUGAGAAGG